UACGUAGGGCGCGAGCGUUGUCCGGAAUUAUUGGGCGUAAAGAGCUCGUAGGCGGCCUGUCGCGUCGGUUGUGAAAGCCCGGGGCUCAACCCCGGGUCUGCAGUCGAUACGGGCAGGCUAGAGUUCGGUAGGGGAGAUCGGAAUUCCUGGUGUAGCGGUGAAAUGCGCAGAUAUCAGGAGGAACACCUGUGGCGAAGGCGUCCAUCUGGCCCGUUACUGACGCUGAGGCGCGAAAGCUAGGGGAGCAAACGGG
rnacentral:rRNA from 1 species